ACAAAGGAAAUACCUAUCAGGACGGUCAAACUUUCAUAGACGUUUAUAGCGAGUGCACAUGCAACGAUGGAACAGUCAAAUGUUCACAACGCGUAUAUGCCAAGAACACAUGCACCUACGAAGGAAACACCUACCAGGACGGUCAAACGUUCAAAGACGAUUGUAAUGAUUGCAAAUGCCACAAAAAUGGAAAGGUCACGUGUUCUAACCGCAAAUGUCCAAAGUAUUAGUGGCAGAGUCGAACACAAAACCAAAGCACAAAUCAUGCCUUGUAAUUUGAAAAAUAAACAUACGUACGCA